GUCUACAGCCAUACCACCCUAAAAGUGCCUGAUCUUGUCUGACCUUGGGCACUACAUAGGGUCAGUUCUGGUUUGUAUUUGGAAGGCAGACAGAAUGAGGGUAUAAGCAGUGACU
ensembl:rRNA 5S_rRNA 5S ribosomal RNA